UGUGGCUCAAGGCCUAGCAAAGGAAACUCAUCCUGUCCUCCCCUCCUUUCCCUCCGGUUUCCAGCCUCUGGGAAGAACAGACUCCUCCCUGCGGGACGAGUACCCGCAGCUCCGACCACAGCUGGCCUCUGGCAGAGGUGUGCCAACAAAGAAAGAAAACAAGAGCCAAGCUGCAUUCAUUUCAAGCUCCAUUAGGGGCAAGCACUGGAUACCAGCCAGGACCCAGGAUGGCGGUACCCAGCUAGGCUUUGCGAAUGUCAGAUGCUUUGUAUGAGACCAGUUGCAUUCUCUGAACCAACUCCUGCCACUGAAGAAUCCAGAGAUGUAAAGAUCCAGAAUCUUGGAAGCUCUCCACCUGCCUCAUCACAGGCAAACCAGUCCAGCAAUCCACCACGAGAAGAUUGUAUUCUUAUUGGCCCCUGGUCCAAAAAAGAGUGAAAUAUAUGUGAAGUCGACUUGAAUCCAUCCUACAUCUGGAGCAGUCACCCAGGCCUGUCUGCCUCCCAGUGUCCUCCUCCCAGUCUUCAGCCCUCUGCCCAGUAGCCCGAGAUGAGCCCACAGUCAAGGUGAUGAGUGUGGUGGGGCCAGAGGGAAAAAAUAUGUUGCAUGCUUCAUUUUAAAGAUUAGAAAGCCACUACCCUGGAGUGUGGCUGAAACAUUUUGGAAGAUUGUUUGCCAAGCAGAUAUUUUUCUUCUGUAAACACACACUAGACAGAAAUCCCAUGGGCUGAUGCCAGGAGCGAAUAGUCAGAGAGGAAGUAAGAAGUUUAGGCCCUUGUGAACUGUCUCUUCAGGCUGAGUUGGGGGGUGCCUGCUUGAUGGAACCCUUAGAUAAAUUUGGGGAUAAAUCAGACUAGGAGAAAAAUCAUAGCCCAAAAUGUGAUAGAAAAAACCCUGAGAAACCUGUAAAUUCUCUUACGCUGUGCAAGAACAGUUGAAUUCUCCUCAUGGCCCAAGGCCAGCUGCUGCAGGACCUCAGGGCUGACAGAGGUUUCAGCCCAUUCUGUGGGUCCCAGCUUGUCCUUGCUCUCCCUCUAUUACAUUCAUCUUCUCUUCCUGAAAUACUGCCCUGAAGAUUUCAAAUCAGACUCAGACACAAAGACUCAAACAUCAGACUCAGACUCGAAGACAAUAGUGUUAUAGGUGCUGCAUACAGCUGGGGAAGAUCAAAUCCCUGUAACAAUCUGUCCAUCUCUCUGCCAGCCUAUGUAUGUAUGUAUGUAUGUAUGUAUGUAUGUAUGUAUGUAUGUAUGUAUGUAUCUAUCUAUCUAUCUAUCUAUCCAUCCAUCCAUCCAUCCAUCAAUCCACCUACCCACUCACUCAUCCAUCUUAUCAGUUUAGCUUCUCUGUGGCUUAGAAAGGUCACUCUGGUUACAUGGAGAAGGAAACAUUUAGACACUGGUGGGCCUGUGAACACAGAAAGGAGAGAAAAUAUUUGAGAGAAAUUUCUUCCCUGUGCUCUCUUCAGUCACUGACCUCUUUCCUCCCACAAAUCCUUUGGACUCCUAACUAAGCCCUCUCAGCCCAUAGACGCUCUAAGAAAGAAGCCAGAAACCAGGCCAUUUUCAAGGUUAUCCAAACCAUGGGGUGGGGCCCUGUCAGGGGGCUUGUCUUAGGUGCAGGAGGUGGAGCAGCCCUUGUGAACUGACAACUUUUCAAAUGCCUCUCUUAUGAUCAUUAAUCUAGUCAAAGAGCAUGACUCAUGAACAAACUUAUUUUUAGCAUCUCUUUUUAGAAGGUAAAAUAACAAAUUUUGUAAUGGCCCUUUCCAGUGAUUUACUGGGAAUUUUCAAAGAUAGGUAUAGAA